GGAGGAAAAGAAACCAACAGGGAUUGCCUCAGUAGCGGCGAGUGAAGCGGCAAAAGCUCAAAUUUGAAAUCUGGCGUCUUUGGCGUCCGAGUUGUAAUUUGAAGAAGGUAUCUUUGGGCCCGGCUCUUGUCUAUGUUCCUUGGAACAGGACGUCACAGAGGGUGAGAAUCCCGUGCGAUGAGAUGACCCGGGUCUGUGUAAAGUUCCUUCGACGAGUCGAGUUGUUUGGGAAUGCAGCUCUAAGUGGGUGGUAAAUUCCAUCUAAAGCUAAAUAUUGGCGAGAGACCGAUAGCGAACAAGUACAGUGAUGGAAAGAUGAAAAGAACUUUGAAAAGAGAGUGAAAAAGUACGUGAAAUUGUUGAAAGGGAAGGGCUUGAGAUCAGACUUGGUAUUUUGCAUGCUGCUCUCUCGGGGGCGGCCGCUGCGGUUUACCGGGCCAGCAUCGGUUUGGAGCGGCAGGAUAAUGGCGGAGGAAUGUGGCACGGCUUCUGCUGUGUGUUAUAGCCUCUGACGAUGCUGCCAGCCUAGACCGAGGACUGCGGUUUAACCU
rnacentral:rRNA from 1 species